CCCUUCAACAGCAUUCAUCCCUUCCAAAUCAAAUAUUCCUUCUAGUGAGCUGCAUUUUUCUACAAUCAGCACCUCCAAACGGUUCAAGAACUGGAGUUGAUUUGAUGAUAAGGCUUUCGAGAAAUACUCACAAUUGUCCACCACCAAUUCACUUAACCCGUCUAGGAGCUUCAAAGGAAGUUGGGUGUGCCAUUUUUCCUUUAUCUGGGGAAAUUUAGAGAGUUUAACUUUCU
rnacentral:misc_RNA from 1 species